AUUUUCUGGUGUGAUGGCAUAUUCAGUACAUGCUAUGGUGGGAGAACUGGGUUCUGGUGAUACCAUAUAGCCUUGAUUUCUCUUGCUUAAGUUCUUAUGUUUGCCUCUUGUCAUUUGGUUAUUUCUAGUUCUUCUGGCCCUUGAUGUCUCUGACUGAUGGCUGUUCUUCCUGUGAUCUUGAUUGUGUCAAAACUCCUCAUUGUACAGGAGAAGGUCCCCUCGAGACCCUUGAAUAACUGGAACUGCUGGAUGGGUCAAGUGGCACCAGACGUGGGGCACAAGGUAUGACCACCCUCCGGACAACGGAUUCAAGAGGUACCUCGCAGAGAGUGAGACAGUUCCCCGCCACUUUGCUCAAGGAUGUCGAGAGGUGAAAUAUGAAAUGAGGAAGAAUUACAUACACAGACUGGG